UACGGAGGGAGCUAGCGUUGUUCGGAAUUACUGGGCGUAAAGCGCACGUAGGCGGCUUUGUAAGUUAGAGGUGAAAGCCCGGGGCUCAACCCCGGAAUUGCCUUUAAGACUGCAUCGCUUGAAUCCGGGAGAGGUGAGUGGAAUUCCGAGUGUAGAGGUGAAAUUUCGUAAGAUAUUCGGAAGAACACCAGUGGCGAAGGCGGCUCCACUGGACCGGUAUUGACG
rnacentral:rRNA from 1 species